AUUGAACGCUGGCGGCAGGCUUAACACAUGCAAGUCGAGCGGAGAUGAGGUGCUUGCACCUUAUCUUAGCGGCGGACGGGUGAGUAAUGCUUAGGAAUCUGCCUAUUAGUGGGGGACAACAUUCCGAAAGGAAUGCUAAUACCGCAUACGCCCUACGGGGGAAAGCAGGGGAUCUUCGGACCUUGCGCUAAUAGAUGAGCCUAAGUCGGAUUAGCUAGUUGGUGGGGUAAAGGCCUACCAAGGCGACGAUCUGUAGCGGGUCUGAGAGGAUGAUCCGCCACACUGGGACUGGGACUCGGCCCAGACUCCUACGGGAGGCAGCAGUGGGGAAUAUUGGACAAUGGGCGGAAGCCUGAUCCAGCCAUGCCGCGUGUGUGAAGAAGGCCUUUUGGUUGUAAAGCACUUUAAGCGAGGAGGAGGCUACCUGGAUUAAUACUCUAGGAUAGUGGACGUUACUCGCAGAAUAAGCACCGGCUAACUCUGUGCCAGCCGCCGCGGUAAAAC
rnacentral:rRNA from 1 species